rnacentral:rRNA from 1 species
AGCGCGGGAGCAAUCCUGGCGGCGAGUGGCGAACGGGUGAGUAAUACAUCGGAACGUGCCCAAUCGUGGGGGAUAACGCAGCGAAAGCUGUGCUAAUACCGCAUACGAUCUACGGAUGAAAGCAGGGGAUCGCAAGACCUUGCGCGAAUGGAGCGGCCGAUGGCAGAUUAGGUAGUUGGUGAGGUAAAGGCUCACCAAGCCUUCGAUCUGUAGCUGGUCUGAGAGGACGACCAGCCACACUGGGACUGAGACACGGCCCAGACUCCUACGGGAGGCAGCAGUGGGGAAUUUUGGACAAUGGGCGAAAGCCUGAUCCAGCCAUGCCGCGUGCAGGAUGAAGGCCUUCGGGUUGUAAACUGCUUUUGUACGGAACGAAACGGCCUUUUCUAAUAAAGAGGGCUAAUGACGGUACCGUAAGAAUAAGCACCGGCUAACUACGUGCCAGCAGCCGCGGUAAUACGUAGGGUGCAAGCGUUAAUCGGAAUUACUGGGCGUAAAGCGUGCGCAGGCGGUUAUGUAAGACAGUUGUGAAAUUCCCGGGCUCAACCUGGGAACUGCAUCUGUGACUGCAUAGCUAGAGUACGGUAGAGGGGGAUGGAAUUCCGCGUGUAGCAGUGAAAUGCGUAGAUAUGCGGAGGAACACCGAUGGCGAAGGCAAUCCCCUGGACCUGUACUGACGCUCAUGCACGA